ensembl:misc_RNA Metazoa_SRP Metazoan signal recognition particle RNA
GCCAGGCACGGUGGUGUGUACCUGUAGUCCUAGCUACUCAGGAGGCUGAGGCAGGAGAAUCACUUGAGCCCAGGAGUUCAAGGCUGCAGUGAGCUAGCACUGUUCCACUGCACUCCAGCAUGGGCAACAGAGCAAGACCCUGUCUCUA